CCGACGCCACUACAAGGCUGAGCCCAGCAUGAUGCGAUGAGGUCCCUCUGAUCCGAAGCCGAGCAGUUUUACUUAAUCGAGUUGGCUCUGGUUCGUGCCAAAUUGGGCAGGCGGGUUUGGGUUGAAUCCCUCGCGAGUCGUCGUCGUAACGGAAUCCCUCGCCCAUGGCGGUAUCAUUUCAGGCCAAUGCUUACGGCUAGCGUUACUCGGUGGCAGUCCAGGAUAGGGCCGGUCCGUUUCUCUCCGCGAGGGCUUGCAUUUCUCCUAAAUCGUCGCAUUUUCAGUUUCUGGAAUUGGAUAAACAGUGACAAAGCAUACUAUCCAGCAGUAUAUGGACAAAUUGGUUGUUGAGUCACCAUCCGAAUUAGCUGAUAAGCUUCUUCCUCUAAAUCUCGAGGAAGAAAAUCAGUUGCAAAAGAAGGUUGCUUAUCUUCUUCUUGAGAUUAAAGAGUCUAAGAAUAAUGUUCAACAGCUUCAGACUGAACAUGGCAAGGUGGAAAAUUCUAUUAAGAUGCUGUCCUGUCAAAUGAGUGAGUUGGACAAGAGAAAGACAGAUGUUCUAAAUGAAACAAAGCUGCUGCAUCAGAGGAUUGAUGAAAGAAACUGGGGUGAUGCUGUCCAGGAUAUGAUCAGAAUGUUGAAAAUAGUUAAGGAUCUUGAAAGGAAAGAAUCUGAUCUGUUGUCUUCAUGUAAACUAAUACAUGCGGAUGUGGAAGAAUCAUUUACCUAUGGAGGACAACUGGAGUUUGCUGAAUUUGAUGAAGCACUGAGCCAAUCAAUGGAGAAACUUACUUCAGCUAAAAGGGAAUUUGCUGCUAAAUUAAGGGCAAUUUUGUCAGUAAAACGAAAGAUUGGUGAUGUGCCCACACAAGUCGAGCUGAUUCAAUAUGAACGGCGAUUUUCAGAACUUUAUUCCCAGAUUCAGGAAAAGCAUAGACAAACUUCUAAAUACUAUGAUACUUAUAAUGCACUAUUGGAGAUAAAGGAACUGAUGCUAAAAGAAACAUCCCUGUUGAACUCAAUAAAUUCGCAGCUUCAAGAUGCCUUGACUAGCAGCAUUGGUUCUUCUAAACUCGUGGACUCCAUGGAGGUUAUAGUGAAGGGAGCUCAACAAAAACUGGAAAAGGUACAGCUUAGGCUACUGGCUGAAAAGAAACAUUCUGACUUUCUGAGGGAGAAGUACACAGCAGCUAUAGCAGACCAGCGGCAUUUUUCAUCGCUUCUAAAGGCUUUCCAGGAUGAGUGCACAAAAAAUGAAAGGCUCAGCCAGUUAGUUCAAAAUCGCAUGUCAUCAAGUGCAUCCCUCUGAAAUCUUUGAACCGGGGCUAGGAUAUGUUUCUGACUCAGUGGUAAGCCCAUCCCCGUGCUUCAUCAGAUGUGAUAAAGAUGGAACUGCACCAGUCUCAAAAUCUGUCUGAGGUUUGUUUAAAGGAAAGGUUCUGGUGUCCUCCAAACUGAUUGCAGGACUGAGCUGGAGAUGUGAUUUAUUGUCUAAUUGCAGUGAUUAGGUGGACUUUCCGGUCGUGGUGAGGGAGGCACGCGAUGGACUAUAAUUUGAAUCUCUCUUUGGAGACAUCUUUCAAGGGUUUGGCAUAGGUGUAUGAUGAUGUUGCUUUCUUAUGUUCUUUGAAUGAACUUUUGAUUGAUUGCAUAACGAAUAGUUAAUGUGGUCGUCGGUAUGUUGGGAGAAGAAUCUGCAUCGGCCACUGCACGAUUUGAGCCAAUCGGAGGAUUACGAUUCGAAAGGCUUGGAGUCACACGAGGGGAUGGAUGGAAAGAAGAAGAAAGACGGGAGCGGUAAGGUUGCGAUGUUCUCGUGAGAGGAGAG